AGUAGGAAGUUCAUUGUAGAGGUUACAAACGGAGUGUUAAUGACUCAUCCAAUCACCUCGGGGAAGGUCUGAGACAAGAGCCAAUCGCUAUCCUCACAGGACAUCAUAUGAACAAAUGAGCGAGCGCAGAGGAAAAAUGAGUCAGAAUGCAGAAUUCUCACGCGAGACGUUGGAACGCAACAUAACGAGCCAACUGACGCGACCGCCGUUGACUUGGAAACACUCGCGGCUAGCGCAAUGAGUUCAAUGUGUUAAAGGCAGAGUAAGGGAUUUCUGGUAGCCAAUGUUUAUAUU
rnacentral:RNase_P_RNA from 1 species